rnacentral:rRNA from 1 species
UGGAGCCAACCUUGAAAUACCACCCUUUAAUGUUUGAUGUUCUAACUCCGGUCCCUAAUCGGGAUUGAGGACAGUGUCUGGUGGGUAGUUUGACUGGGGCGGUCUCCUCCUAAAGAGUAACGGAGGAGCACGAAGGUUAGCUAAUCACGGUCGGACAUCGUGAGGUUAGUGCAAUGGCAUAAGCUAGCUUGACUGCGAGAGUGACGGCUCGAGCAGGUACGAAAGUAGGUCAUAGUGAUCCGGUGGUUCUGAAUGGAAGGGCCAUCGCUCAACGGAUAAAAGGUACUCCGGGGAUAACAGGCUGAUACCGCCCAAGAGUUCAUAUCGACGGCGGUGUUUGGCACCUCGAUGUCGGCUCAUCACAUCCUGGGGCUGAAGUAGGUCCCAAGGGUAUGGCUGUUCGCCAUUUAAAGUGGUACGCGAGCUGGGUUUAGAACGUCGUGAGACAGUUCGGUCCCUAUCUGCCGUGGGCGUUGGAAGAUUGAGAGGGGCUGCUCCUAGUACGAGAGGACCGGAGUGGACGCAUCACUGGUGUUCGGGUUGUCAUGCCAAUGGCAUUGCCCGGUAGCUAAAUGCGGAAAAGAUAAGCGCUGAAAGCAUCUAAGCGCGAAACUUGCCUCGAGAUGAGUCUUCCCUGAGACCUUGAGUCUCCUAAAGGAACGUUUAAGACUAAGACGUUGAUAGGCUGGGUGUGUAAGCGUAGCGAUACGUUGAGCUAACCAGUACUAAUGAUCCGUGAGGCUUAACCUUACAACACCGAAGGUGUUU